rnacentral:rRNA from 3 species
AAAUUGAAGAGUUUGAUCAUGGCUCAGAUUGAACGCUGGCGGCAGGCCUAACACAUGCAAGUCGAGCGGUAGCACAGGAGAGCUUGCUCUCUGGGUGACGAGCGGCGGACGGGUGAGUAAUGUCUGGGAAACUGCCUGAUGGAGGGGGAUAACUACUGGAAACGGUAGCUAAUACCGCAUAACGUCUACGGACCAAAGUGGGGGACCUUCGGGCCUCACGCCAUCAGAUGUGCCCAGAUGGGAUUAGCUAGUAGGUGGGGUAAUGGCUCACCUAGGCGACGAUCCCUAGCUGGUCUGAGAGGAUGACCAGCCACACUGGAACUGAGACACGGUCCAGACUCCUACGGGAGGCAGCAGUGGGGAAUAUUGCACAAUGGGCGCAAGCCUGAUGCAGCCAUGCCGCGUGUGUGAAGAAGGCCUUAGGGUUGUAAAGCACUUUCAGCGAGGAGGAAGGGUAGUGUGUUAAUAGCACAUUGCAUUGACGUUACUCGCAGAAGAAGCACCGGCUAACUCCGUGCCAGCAGCCGCGGUAAUACGGAGGGUGCAAGCGUUAAUCGGAAUUACUGGGCGUAAAGCGCACGCAGGCGGUUUGUUAAGUCAGAUGUGAAAUCCCCGCGCUUAACGUGGGAACUGCAUUUGAAACUGGCAAGCUAGAGUCUUGUAGAGGGGGGUAGAAUUCCAGGUGUAGCGGUGAAAUGCGUAGAGAUCUGGAGGAAUACCGGUGGCGAAGGCGGCCCCCUGGACAAAGACUGACGCUCAGGUGCGAAAGCGUGGGGAGCAAACAGGAUUAGAUACCCUGGUAGUCCACGCUGUAAACGAUGUCGAUUUGGAGGUUGUGCCCUUGAGGCGUGGCUUCCGGAGCUAACGCGUUAAAUCGACCGCCUGGGGAGUACGGCCGCAAGGUUAAAACUCAAAUGAAUUGACGGGGGCCCGCACAAGCGGUGGAGCAUGUGGUUUAAUUCGAUGCAACGCGAAGAACCUUACCUACUCUUGACAUCCAGAGAACUUUCCAGAGAUGGAUUGGUGCCUUCGGGAACUCUGAGACAGGUGCUGCAUGGCUGUCGUCAGCUCGUGUUGUGAAAUGUUGGGUUAAGUCCCGCAACGAGCGCAACCCUUAUCCUUUGUUGCCAGCGAUUCGGUCGGGAACUCAAAGGAGACUGCCGGUGAUAAACCGGAGGAAGGUGGGGAUGACGUCAAGUCAUCAUGGCCCUUACGAGUAGGGCUACACACGUGCUACAAUGGCGUAUACAAAGAGAAGCGAACUCGCGAGAGCAAGCGGACCUCAUAAAGUACGUCGUAGUCCGGAUUGGAGUCUGCAACUCGACUCCAUGAAGUCGGAAUCGCUAGUAAUCGUAGAUCAGAAUGCUACGGUGAAUACGUUCCCGGGCCUUGUACACACCGCCCGUCACACCAUGGGAGUGGGUUGCAAAAGAAGUAGGUAGCUUAACCUUCGGGAGGGCGCUUACCACUUUGUGAUUCAUGACUGGGGUGAAGUCGUAACAAGGUAACCGUAGGGGAACCUGCGGUUGGAUCACCUCCUUA